GUGUCAGAAGUAAUUAGGUUAUAGAAACCAUCUGUGACUGAGGUCUGUAAAAUAAGAAAAUCCAGGAGAGGGAUGGAAUCUUUUCAGUCCAGGAUUUAUCUCCAAGGGAUAAGCAAUGAGUCCAGGUGGAGCAGAGACAGACAUGC